GUGCCAGCCGCCGCGGUAAUACGUAGGUGGCGAGCGUUGUCCGGAAUUACUGGGUGUAAAGGGCGUGUAGGCGGGAAGUCAAGUCAGAUGUGAAAGCCCAGGGCUCAACCCUGGAUCUGCAUCUGAAACUGAUUUUCUUGAGUGCUGGAGAGGAAAGCGGUAUUCCUAGUGUAGCGGUGAAAUGCGUAGAUAUUAGGAGGAACACCAGUGGCGAAGGCGGCUUUCUGGACAGUAACUGACGCUGAGGCGCGAAAGCGUGGGGAGCAAACAGGAUUAGAUACCCUGGUAGUCCACGCUGUAAACGAUGGAUACUAGGUGUAGGAGGUAUCGACCCCUUCUGUGCCGCAGUUAACGCAAUAAGUAUCCCACCUGGGGAGUACGGCCGCAAGGUUGAA
rnacentral:rRNA from 1 species